rnacentral:rRNA from 1 species
AAAUUAUCCUCAUAAGUUAGACGAAAAGAGGUACCAUUUGUGAUUUCUAUUACUAAGACUUUGUUUUAAUAAUUGAUAGAUAAAUGGUGGCACAUAAUCGGAGGCCCCGACUGUUUACUAAAAACACAACACAGUGCAAUCAUUAAUAUGGUAGUAUACUGUGUGAAAUUUGCCCAAUGCCAUUAAUAUAAAAGCGGUCAUAGGAAACUGUGACUAAUUGAAAAUCUGGUUAAUAGCGGUCUUAACCAUGAGGAUCCUAAGGUAGCAAAAUAAAUUGGCCAUUAAAUGUGGUCCGGUAUCAAUAAUGUAACGAUGGCCUCACUGUCUCUACAACUUGCUCAGUGAAAUUGAAUUACGCGUGCAGAUGCGCGUUACCUCCAGUGGGACGGGAAGACCCUAUGCAGCUUCU